GCCAAACACCCCCUAAUUUAUAUUUCCCCCAAAUGCCGCAAUCCAUGAAUUUCUUUCACAAAAAUUACAAGCUCCCUCUACUUCUUGGGUCUUCUUCACUCGGCCGCUUUCUCUAGUUAUGCGGCGCCCCUUGCAAAUCGACAUGCUUAUUCAUCGAUGGUGACUCAACGACACCUGUACUACCGUCUACAUCGUCUGACCUAUAGUUGUCGUCAUGUUAUUCGACUAUCCCCUCAUGUUAAAGGAGGAAUCCUAAAAUAUUGCCCACAUGGAGUCAAAAGUCAGAAGUCAACAGCAAAUUUGUGGUUAUGGUUAUGAAUAUGAACACAUUGAUGGUUAGCAUAUGGGAUCUUGUUAUAGGUACAUGACUAUGUGCAUCAAAUUGCUAGUUGGGAUAGUUUGUUGGGUUGAGGGUUAAUACGUAUUCGGCGAGGGAGAUUCAUUUGGGCCAUUUAUGUAUUGUUGGAAUUCUGUCACAAUAGUUGGGCUGUUUUAGCCAUUCAUGUGGACGGAAUUUUUUCGUCAAUUUGGAGAAUAGGGGCCCAUUAGAGAUUGUUUAUUUGACUAUGGGCAGGGCAGGAAAUGUUAAUUUGGAUAUGAGCCUAUUUUAUGUUUAGGUUAGGUGUUUGGACUGAAAGUGUUAUGUGGAAGUUUGAUGGAUUUGGGCUUAACAUUGCAACCCAUAAUUGGGGAGUUGGGGUGUUAGGCUCAUGAUAACAGGCUUAACCAGAGUACACCAUGACCAUCCUAUGGACCAAGUGUUUGAUGGUAGAUCAUUAAUAAAGGGGAGUGUUUCGGCUUGGGCAUGGCAAGUAUUGUAUCAUAGUUGGAUGCGGCCGAUGGAGUUGAUGCUGAAUAAAGAAUUGAAUGGGCCGCUAGUGCAAAGGUUUAAACUUGGGCCCAAAAUUAUGUACAGGGAAUUGUACUAUGUAUUUUGAUGAAUAUAUUAUGUACAUUUGAAUUUA